UAUAAUUGUCGUUGUGAAUCCUGUUGUGGCUCUUUUGCUCAAUUCACCUUCUCUAAAACAUAUAUUGUGAAACUUCACCAAAUUAAACUAUGAAACACAUAUAACAGUAAAAAAAAGUGUGAUUUACAAAGCAUAUGCUAGUCAUAUGGGAAUGUUGGAUUAAAACAUUCAUCAUUUUCAGAGAACCAUCAUAUAUGAUAGUGAAGCCAUAUGAAAAUCAAUAGACAAGUCUAUCAAUUUAGCUGGUAAAAACAUGUUCAAUGUUGAGAUAAUGUCAGCUGACAUAAAUAAUUUGACAUCUAGAUAUACUUAUCAAUAUUAAUAUAUAUAUAUAUAUAUAUAUAUAUAUAUGUAAAAUCUAGACAUGGAUAAAAAGUCCUAAUUUACAAAGAAAGUCGAGCACAAGAAAAAAUAGAAAGACUGAAAAUAAUGUGAUAGAAAGGAAAUUAAUCUUGUGUAAGCAAUACUCAGUUUUUAAAAGGUGAUCCUUUGAUAAUAAAGCAUCCAAACUAACUUAUACCAAAUUAUAUUGCCUUGUCGAGUAAUAAAAGUCAAACUGAUUGAAUUCAUGGCAAAUUCAUCUACAUUAGCUCCUAUGCAUGAAAAUAAAAUAUUUACUUCUCAAUCAAAGCCUGCUAAAAGUAAUUUUCACUUACUUUCUAAUGGUACUGAUUUUCAUCCCAUUGACACUAACCACAAGCCUAAUCGUCAUGCUAAUAUCCUCCCUGCAGCAUCCAUAUCAAAAAUUUUGAUAAGGAAAUGAUAACAUGACAUUAUACUGUAGAAAAUAUAAGAAGAUGGCCAACACAUUCAGCAAACAAUCUUUUCUGAGUUCAGCUAUAUCCAAGAACAGUUCAUAAUAUGCUAAUGAUCUCAGUUUAACUUGUAUAUUUUACCUAGCCAAAUGAUGCACCACAGUUACCAAACUAUAUCAUCAGCAAUCAGAGUCUCAAUUUCGGAUUGCCUAUAUCAUUCUAUACAGAUUUUUUCAUAUUUUUAUGCUUCAAGCAGGCUUGACUCAUCUCAAAAUGUCAUGUCACUACAACAAUUUGUCCGUCAAUUGUUGAAUUUGAAAAUUUUGAAGUAAAAUAUAUCUUGUUAAAGAGGAGAUACAAAAUCAUGUAGGCCUUUAUUUGAAUAAGGAGAAAGUAAAGGAGACAUAACGGAAACCCAACAAUUGAGUCACUAGCAUAAGGGGAACUAUCUUACAAUAAACAAUGUGUUUAGUAUAUAUAAACACAACUAAGGAUAUUUACUUUUAAAGUAACAGGUCAUUUCACCAUUUGUAUUAAAUCUCGACUGUUAUAAUGUGACACUGGGUAUUAAUUGUAUACUAUUCUAGAUUCAUCAUGCACUGUUUAAAUGAUUCCAAUUCGAAAUAAUCUAAAAGAGUAGAAUCGUGAGUAUGAUCAAAUAAAAGGAAGCAUAAAAAAGAAGAUUUUACCUUAAGCUUACAAUUGAUGCCUUUGAUAAAACUUUUGUUCCAUGAAUGAACUUUACCUUCAUAUAUGCAGAAACAUGACCUCCAUAGAUAUACUUGCGGUGAAGUGAUGAGUGCAUAUUAUUCAUUUAUUUUGAUUCUUUUAUGUUUAGUUUUAUUGCAUGUUUCAUGUGUAUAUGAGCUUAUUAAGGUGUUUAAUGAUUUCAGGAAGAAUUGAAGCUGAAAUGAGGAAAAAUAAAAAAUUGCAGGAUUUUUAGCAUUAAGUUGGAUGAAUGGUCUUGGCUUAGGACUUGGAUUUUAUUGUAGAGCUCUUCUUUAGCUUUCCGGAACAUCUUGAAUCGUCCAAAACGGAGUUCAUAUGAAAAAGUUAUGAUAUUUUUACUAAACGGACGUUGAACCUCAAAGUUUGGAAGUUGCAAUUUACACAACAGUCACUUGGAGCCUGAUUUCGACCUUGAUGCAGAAAGAUUCUGUCGAUUCUCAAAGAAUGAAAGUUGUAGAUCUCGUCGAUAUCUUCGUUUUGAUAGGUAGCAGGCCCCGUAACUCCUCCCGGAUCAAAAGCUAUGCUCAUUUUACCAAAGGACGUUGCAGCAGGAAAUGAAAAUUCGCCGCAGCGAAUUUGAGGGGAAAAAUUGAGAAAUCUUGGAUUUUUGGAAAGUUUCUAAAUGCAAAUUUUGGUAGACUUCUACAUGGAAUUGGAUUGAUAUUUUAUUAGAUUUAGGAUAUCUUUUAGACUAAGAUUUAUUUCCAAAUUGAAUUCUAUUUCUUUAUGGAAACUAGUUAUGAUUUGUAAUUCCUUUUAGGAUUUGGAUUUCUAUUUCCUACAAGAUUUAUGACUUUAUCUAGCACUAUAAAUAGAGGAUGAAAGUCAGGGUUUUAGGCAUUCAACUAUCAACUAUCAUCUAUUGGAGUGUAGACUCAAGAGCAUGUCAGGCUAGUUCUUUUUAUUCAGUUCUAAAGGGAGGUGAAUCCUUGUUACAAGUAAUUGAUUAAUUGAGUAUUAUUAUUUAUUCCUUCUUGUGUGAAAUUUCUUCUGAUAAUCUGUUUUCAUUGAUUGCAUGCUAAUUGAUCUAAUUGAUUUAAUAUGGCCAAUUGAGUUAAUUUGAUCAUUAUCAUCUGCUAGAUUAAGAUUGGUAUUACGUGUAAUUGAUAUCU
rnacentral:lncRNA from 1 species